AUUGAACGCUGGCGGCAUGCUUUACACAUGCAAGUCGAACGGCAGCACGGGAGCUUGCUCCUGGUGGCGAGUGGCGAACGGGUGAGUAAUGCAUCGGAACGUACCCAGUAGUGGGGGAUAACACAUCGAAAGAUGUGCUAAUACCGCAUACGCACUGAGGUGGAAAGCGGGGACCUUCGGGCCUCGCGCUAUUGGAGCGGCCGAUGUCGGAUUAGCUAGUUGGUGGGGUAAAGGCCUACCAAGGCAACGAUCCGUAGCUGGUCUGAGAGGAUGAUCAGCCACACUGGGACUGAGACACGGCCCAGACUCCUACGGGAGGCAGCAGUGGGGAAUUUUGGACAAUGGGCGCAAGCCUGAUCCAGCCAUGCCGCGUGAGUGAAGAAGGCCUCGGGUUGUAAAGCUCUUUCAGUCGGAAAGAAGCGGUCUGCCCUAAUAAGGUGGGCUAAUGACGGUACCGACAGAAGAAGCACCGGCUAACUACGUGCCAGCAGCCGCGGUAAUACGUAGGGUGCGAGCGUUAAUCGGAAUUACUGGGCGUAAAGCGUGCGCAGGCGGCUUUGUAAGACAGAUGUGAAAGUCCCCGGGCUCAACCUGGGAACUGCGUUUGUGACUGCAAGGCUAGAGUACGGUAGAGGGGGUGGAAUUCCACGUGUAGCAGUGAAAUGCGUAGAGAUGUGGAGGAACACCGAUGGCGAAGGCAGCCCCUGGG
rnacentral:rRNA from 1 species